UACGAAGGGGGCUAGCGUUGUUCGGAAUCAUUGGGCGUAAAGGGCGCGUAGGCGGCGUUUUAAGUCGGGGGUGAAAGCCUGUGGCUCAACCACAGAAUGGCCUUCGAUACUGGGACGCUUGAGUAUGGUAGAGGUUGGUGGAACUGCGAGUGUAGAGGUGAAAUUCGUAGAUAUUCGCAAGAACACCGGUGGCGAAGGCGGCCAACUGGACCAUUACUGACGCUGAGGCGCGAAAGCGUGGGGAGCAAACAGG
rnacentral:rRNA from 1 species